rnacentral:lncRNA from 1 species
UUUAAAAUAAUAAAUGUAUAGAAAAUAAUAUUUCACAAAGGAAGAAUUUUUAUUUAUCUUGGUGUUUAUGUCUAAAGAAAGAAAGCAGAGUCCCAUCUGCUUUCUUCUACCUCUGCUUCUCCACUGGGUUAUUCUGAAGUCAAUCUUACAUAUGUAUUUCUUCCUUUUAUAUCACUUGUCUCUAGAAAAAAAUGUCUCUACACCUAGAGUUAUUUAAUAUAUUGUCACUGUUUACAUUUCCCUGUCACAGAAAUGACUUGUUUCUGUACUUUAUGGAAGUAGAAAAUCAGGAGACGGCUUUAUUUCAUCACUGGUUAAUCAACUUCGAAUGCCUCUUUGGCCCAGGGUCUCAUUAUGUAACCUAGAACUUGCUUUGUAGACCAAGCUGAUUGAACUCACAGAUAUGGACUCUAGAUCCCCCUUCCAAGUGCUGAGAUUAAAUGUAUGCAGCACCAGUCCCACCUUUUAAAAUCUGAGGUUCGGUUGCAUUUUUGUAUUUGGUAGUUGCUUAUUGCCCAUUGUCUAGUUGAUGGGCAUUAGAACAAUUUACAUUUUUUGCUUCUUAGCAUAUCAUAUGUGCCUUAUUCCAUUUCUUUAAGAGUCUCUUUUCUGUGAAUUGGCUAAUCAUUUUAGUACUUUUCUUGUACAAUUGCCUUUUGCAAAAUAUUGUUUGUUUACAGACACCUAACUCUGAGAACAUUUAUUUGUUCAUUCUGUAAUACUGAGUUACUAAAUGUAAAGUACUUAGGAAAUAUUGAUGUACUUAGGAAAUGCACACAGGCAUAUAUACAGGCACAAGGCGACAACUAGAUUCAUUGAGGAAAUUAAUUAAAAAGAAAAUAGUGGCAGUAUAUAGGAAGAAGGAAAGGGGGAAAUUGUCUAAAAAAAGUAUAGCACUGCAAAACAAGCCCCUACAAAAGGAAGAAAACAUGGGUCACUUAAACAGAGAUUAGGAGUAGAUUACAGGUAAUGUGCUGUUGUUGGGUUUUUUUUUUUUGUUGUUGUUGUUUUGUUUUGUUUUAACAUAGUAAGGUAGUUUUCACUAAUAACCUUGAAGGAUCUUUCAAGUAUAGCCAGAGUAUCUGUCUAGACUUCUUUUCGAGUAGGGGAAUUAGCCUUACUAAAUCGUGACAUGGGGAUUUGUCUAACUUGUUCCAAGAAAGUCAAAAAUGUAACAAAGGAAAGUAAAUGAUAAGAAUCAGAGUUAAAGAGAAGGCAGAGCACACGGGAUUAUUAUUAGGAAUUACACACUCACUUUGAAUGAUACAUGUAUGUUGAGCAUGAUCUUAGCAUAGAUGUGAGUUUGGCUGAGUAGUAAAAUUUGACAGUGUUGAGAUCAUAUUAUGGUACAGAAAGGUUGUAGCAUUAGGAGAGUAUUAUAAUAACAAGCAAAGGUGGAGUUGCCUCAGACAAGAAUUAGAAUUGCUGAGAGAAUAGUAUGAAUCAUAACAUUUUUGAGAUUGAUGUCUAAAAGAAUGGGUUCAGAUUAAAAAGGUCGGUAGAGACCUCACAUAGAACAGUUUUUCAGAGUAAAAGUAGUUUAUGUAUAGGAGUUUAGUUAGGGCCUUGUUAAAUUUGCCUUAAGAUAUAUCCUUAGUGGAGAUGUCAUUGUGGGCAGUUAAAACUCUGCAGUUCAGGAGAGAGGUCUUGUGAUGAAAUAUAGCUUUGAUGGUUGGUAACAUUUAUGUAAUUUCUAACAGUGUAGGACGGGAUGAGAAGGACAGGGAUGUUCUUUCCUUCAGUUCAUCCUCUGCCUUCACUGGACUUCAGCCCUGAACCUUUUCUCAGUGCUUUUAGAAUCAUUUCCCAUCCACAAAUUCCACAUUUUUCCUUUCCAUCCUCUCGUAAUUUAUUUUAAUAUAAUAAUCUAAUACAUUGUUUUUUCCCAUCCAAGUACUAACCAGGCCGACCCUGCUUAUCUUCAGAGAUCAGGCACAUUUAGGGUAGUGUGGCCAUAGACAAUACAUUGUUUUCUAAGAAGCUAGUUGUUCUCUGUGUGUUUGUAUUGUACCUUUGUUUUACAUGUAGUAAGUAGGCAUAUGGGAUUCUUUUUAUGAAAUCUCUACUCAUCAGAGCUGCUAAGUUUCUGUUGUUUUAUCUAUAGUAAUGCUAGUUUUUCUUCAUCAUCCUUUGUUUUAAACGGCUUUUGUAGUUACAUCUGAAAGUUAAACUCUUUAAAAUUGAUGGGUGCAUGCCUUUAUUCCCAGCGAGGGUUGGGAGAGCAGAGGCAGGCAAUUCUGUGAGUUCAAGACCAACCUAGUCUCUACAGUGAGUUCCAGGACAACCUGGGCUCCACAGAGAAACCCCACCUC